rnacentral:lncRNA from 1 species
GUCAAAUAGUUUUUAAUGGAACAUAAUUCAAUGGAACAAAGAGAUGGAAAUUCUGAUGCUUUGAAGAUGCAGCAAUUUAAUUGGUUGGUUCAGGGCCAUUUUUCUGGCUACCAUAGCAACCAACCAGUUAGGUUGUAACAGGUAGGUCAGAUUGGUGCAAUAAACCAGUCAACACAUUUCAAAUUUAAAUUAAAGCAAUGCAGGCAACAACAAAAAAACAUUAGCAACUUCAUGAAAGAAAUUGACAAAAAAUAAUCAAAAACAAACAACCAACACCAAUACAGCCAAUGAGUCGAAUUUGCAUACAAAAUACAGCCAAUAAGUUGAUUUUACAUACAAAAUACAGUCAAUAAGUCGAUUUUACAUAAAAUAUACAGUCAAUUAGUUGAUUUUACAUACAAAAUACAGUCAAUAAGUCGAUUUUACAUACAAAAUACAGCCAAUAAGUUGAUUUUACAUACAAAAUACAGUCAAUAAGUCGAUUUUACAUACAAUAUACAGUCAAUUAGUUGAUUUUACAUACAAAAUACAGUCAAUUAGUUGCAUUAACAUACAAAAUACAGUCAAAUAAGUUGCAUCAACAUACAGAAUACAGUCAAUAAGUUGCAUUAGCAUACAUAAUACAGUGGAUAGGUCAUAUGAGCAUACAAAAUGCAAAUAAUAAGUAGCAUAACACAUAGAAUGCAGUUGAAAUACCACACCUACAGAAUACAGUCAAUAAGUCAAGC